rnacentral:rRNA from 1 species
CAGUCGCCGCGGGAAUACAGAGGUCUCAAGCGUUGUUCGGAUUCAUUGGGCGUAAAGGGUGCGUAGGUGGUCAUGUAAGUCUAAUGUGAAAUCUCGGGGCUUAACCCCGAAAUUGCAUCGGAUACUGCGUGACUAGAGGAUUGUAGAGGAGAUUGGAAUUCACGGUGUAGCAGUGAAAUGCGUAGAUAUCGUGAGGAAGACCAGUUGCGAAGGCGACUCUCUGGUCUGUAACUGACGCUGAGGAGCGAAAGCGUGGGGAGUGAACAGGAUUAGAUACCCCCGUAGUCCCUGUCUCUUAUAC